rnacentral:rRNA from 1 species
CAAUGGUACCAUACCAUCCUUAACAUGACUGGUCUCAAAUGUUUUCAGAAGCUAGGCAGGAUUGGGCUGGGUUGACACUUGGAUGGAAAACCACCAGGGUGUACCAGCGAUCCCCAGA